ensembl:lncRNA
CAACCCUUAGUUACAGGGGCAAAAUUCCCUCUUUUGGCCAUAUGAGAAUAAUCCUCCUUCCAUAAAUGCCUAAAAAGCAGGAUAACUAUAGGAAACAACUAUGGUCCGACCCUAGAUAACAGACAGUGUAGGACUAUAAUUCCUGAGAGAAGAAAAACAAAGAGGAGAAGCCACGAAUUUGGUGUUUCCUCCCUACUGAGCUACAGCUGUGCCAGAUGAAGUGAGCUAAUUUCCUGCAGAAAGAUUUUGAUGAUGAAAAUAAUGGAGAAAGUUGGGGCACUGGAUCCUUUAAAGAAAGAAGAAAAAUGAGCAAGAAAGGGGAACCAGGGAUAUUAGAAAGCUGGCAUCUCCUAAUUUGCUAUUUUUGGUAGGGCCAGAUUUAUGGAAAUAAAUUAAACACAAGUG